GUAGGGAAUCUUCCACAAUGGACGAAAGUCUGAUGGAGCAACGCCGCGUGAGUGAAGAAGGGUUUCGGCUCGUAAAGCUCUGUUGGUAGUGAAGAAAGAUAGAGGUAGUAACUGGCCUUUAUUUGACGGUAAUUACUUAGAAAGUCACGGCUAACUACGUGCC
rnacentral:rRNA from 1 species